rnacentral:rRNA from 3 species
UACAGGGGGGGCAAGCGUUGUUCGGAAUUACUGGGCGUAAAGGGCUCGUAGGCGGCCAACUAAGUCACACGUGAAAUCCCCAGGCUUAACCUGGGAACUGCGUGUGAUACUGGAUGGCUUGAAUUCGGGAGAGGGAUGCAGAAUUCCAGGUGUAGCGGUGAAAUGCGUAGAUAUCUGGAGGAAUACCGGUGGCGAAGGCGGCAUCCUGGACCGACAUUGACGCUGAGGAGCGAAAGCUAGGGGAGCAAACGGG